UCCUAGGAACUGCUGACUGGAGCUGGAACCGGUGUCAGAGAAGACCAUUUGUCCUGGACAUCAAGUCAGUGUAAACAGCACAUGUAAUUCGUUGACCUUUGAUGACUCAGAAGAAUUGCAAGUGGCCCAAGACGCUGAGAUAUGUUUGCUGAAGUCAGGAGAACUGAUGCUUUGGAUCAGUCCCUAUGUUAACCUCCAGGACCCUGACUCAUCUCAAGAUAUUCCAUUUAGUUGACCAUCCAGUUCAUCUUUCUUAUUAUAUCAGUACUACAUGUAAAGUGCCGUGGGAAGAUGUAUCAAAGAAAGAUGCAGGGUCCUUUUCUUUGUAGGAACAGAGAGGUCAGAGACCAUCACAACUGAGCUCUAUGCUGCUGAAAAUAUGAUUACAUUUAAAAGAUUCUAAUCAAGAUGGAAAUGAGAUUAAGGUGAGCAGCACAUAAGCAGGACGGCUCUAUUUAUUUUGCCACCCCAAGCACAGCAGUCAGGCCGCCUUCCUGCUUUCCUGCC